UGGUAGUUUAUUAAAAAUUCCAACUUGCAAACUUGGAGACGGCUCAGCCCCACUUUUAAUU
rnacentral:tRNA from 1 species